AGCUAUGAAAGCUAAUGGGUUCAUACCUCAUAUAUGAAAUUAUAUUUAUUC
rnacentral:tRNA from 1 species